UACGAAGGGGGCUAGCGUUGCUCGGAAUCACUGGGCGUAAAGGGCGCGUAGGCGGCCGAUCAAGUCGGGGGUGAAAGCCUGUGGCUCAACCACAGAAUUGCCUUCGAUACUGUUUGGCUUGAGACCGGAAGAGGUUAGUGGAACUGCGAGUGUAGAGGUGAAAUUCGUAGAUAUCCGGAGGAACACCAGUGGCGAAGGCGACACGCUGGGCCGUACCUGACACUGAGGAGCGAAAGCGUGGGGAGCGAACAGG
rnacentral:rRNA from 1 species